AACCUAGACAUACAUUCACACAUAUGUCCGCCCGGGUACUACGAGCCACAGCUUAAAACCCAAAGGACUUGGCGGUGCCUCAGACCCACCUAGAGGAGCCUGUUCUAGAACCGAUAAUCCCCGUUAAACCUCACCCCUUCUUGUUUUUUCCGCCUAUAUACCGCCGUCGUCAGCUUACCCUGUGAAGGUCUAAUAGUAAGCAAAAUGGGCCCACCCAAAAACGUCAGGUCGAGGUGUAGCGAACGAAGGGGGAAGAAAUGGGCUACAUUUUCUAAAUAAUAGAAUACUACGGAUGAGCACCCUGAAAAACGUGCCUGAAGGUGGAUUUAGCAGUAAAAAGCAAAUAGAGAGUCCUUUUGAAUUAGGCUCUGAGACGCGCACACACCGCCCGUCACUCUCCCCAAUAUACCCUAGAUUAAUAUUCCUAAUGCCCUAUUAAAUAACACGGGGAGGCAAGUCGUAACAUGGUAAGUGUACCGGAAGGUGCACUUGGGAUAAC
rnacentral:rRNA from 1 species